rnacentral:rRNA from 1 species
GAUGAACGCUGGCGGCAUGCCUAAUACAUGCAAGUCGAGCGAACAGACGAGGAGCUUGCUCCUCUGAUGUUAGCGGCGGACGGGUGAGUAACACGUGGAUAACCUACCUAUAAGACUGGGAUAACUUCGGGAAACCGGAGCUAAUACCGGAUAACAUGUUGAACCGCAUGGUUCAACAGUGAAAGACGGUCUUGCUGUCACUUAUAGAUGGAUCCGCGCCGCAUUAGCUAGUUGGUAAGGUAACGGCUUACCAAGGCAACGAUGCGUAGCCGACCUGAGAGGGUGAUCGGCCACACUGGAACUGAGACACGGUCCAGACUCCUACGGGAGGCAGCAGUAGGGAAUCUUCCGCAAUGGGCGAAAGCCUGACGGAGCAACGCCGCGUGAGUGAAGAAGGUCUUCGGAUCGUAAAACUCUGUUAUUAGGGAAGAACAAAUGUGUAAGUAACUAUGCACGUCUUGACGGUACCUAAUCAGAAAGCCACGGCUAACUACGUG